CCCAGCUCUGGAAUUGCUGGAUCAUAUGGUGGGACCUGGAACUGAAGCUGACACAGGGGAAGACCGAGAAAGAGAGAGGGAAUAAAUUCAGCCCCAAACAUCAGCCAAUUACCCAGUACAACAAAGCUGGGGCUAAUUCUCUUACUACGUACUUCAGUAAUGUCACUCAAUAAAUUCUCCUUUCAAUCCCUAUAACAAUGGCUCAGUUAUUUCAAAAAAGCGUACAUAAAUCAC